AGAAAUUCAAAGUCUAAUAUUCUAACUAAAGUAAGACCACAUGUGUAAAUUCUCCUGCUUGGCUCUUGGCCAGCUUUAGCACCCACAGUCAGGAAAAGAGACACAGAGAGAGAGAGACAAACAGACAGACAGAGAGACACAGAGAGACAGACAGACAGAGACAUAGAGAGAGAGAGAGAGAGAGAGAAGGAGGGAGAGAGACAGAGAGAGAAAGAGAGAGAAAGAGAAAGAGAGAGAGGAGAGAGAGAGAGAGAGAGAGAGAGAGAGAGAGAGAGAGAGAGAGAGAGAGAGAGAGGAGAGAGAGGUGUCAAACCAAAACUUCAUCCUUGGUACAUUCAGGCAGUCCUGGCACUCAGUGUAAGCACGAAAAUGGGAUGGGUUGACUGAUUUCUAGACACACAUAUAUUCUCAGGGAAGAAACACAGAGACAGAGGAAACCAUCCAGGGACUUGGGCUCAUCUAGGUAAACACAUGUUGUUCACUGUGUGUGCUAUAACUACAAUUGCCACUGGGGAGAAGAAAGAAAUUCUCUUCUCUGCAUUUACUGGAAAUCUAAAAAGAGAAAUGCAGGAAAACUCCCAAGGGAGCCAACUAAAAAGCAGAGGAAUUGAACAUUUCUUUAGCUCUUAGAGCCUGUUAAAAGUAAGUGAGACAACAAUACCACUACUGUGUCUAUAUCUCAAAGAGAUCAGACAUAAAGGAAAAGAACCUAUUUGUACAUAAAUAUUUUUAGCAGCUCUUUUUGUAGUGGCAAAAAAGAAACUGAGUAGGUAUCCAGCAACUGGGGAAUGGCUGAACAAGCUAUGAAAGAUAUAUGGUUGUAAAGGAAAUGGAAAACUAUUGCAUCAUAAGAAAGGAUGAACAGGAUGAGUUCAGAAAAACCUGGAAAGACUUACAUGAACUAAUGCAAAAUGAAGUGAACAGAACCAGGAGAACAAUGAAUAUAGCAACAGAAGAAUUGUCAUGAUGAUCAACUGUGAAGAACUAAACUAUUUUAGCAAAACAAGGUUCCAAGAUAACCCCAAGAGACUCAUGAUUUAAAAAAAAAAGCAAACAAACGAAAUAAAACUACUUUCCACAACCA
rnacentral:lncRNA from 1 species